AGCAUUGUCGCCCCUGAUGGUUGCCCGGGACGAAUCCGGGCUGAAAAGGGAACGCGGUGCGGGUCUGACCCAAUUCCGCGGCUGCCCUCGCAACUGUAAGCGGCGAAUGUCUCGCACCAUGCCACUGGCCCUCGGGCUGGGAAGGCGCGACCCAUGAUGACCCGCAAGCCAGGAGACCUGCCAUCCAGGGCGCUGUCCGG
rnacentral:ncRNA from 16 species